ACUCAAAGGAAUAGACGGGGACCCGCACAAGCGGUGGAGUAUGUUGUUUAAUUCGAUGCUACGCGAGAAACCUUACCGACCCUUGACAUCGUGGACGCGAUUUCCAGAGAUGGAUUUCUUCAAUUCGGUUGGUCCAUAGACAGAUGCUGCAUGGCUGUCGUCAGCUCGUGUCGUGAGAUGUUAGGUUAAGUCCUGCAACGAGCGCAACCCACGCCCUUUGUUGCCAGCGGGUAAUGCCGGGAACUCUAAGGGGACUGCCCGAGUCAAUCGGGAGGAAGGCGUGGAUGACGUCAAGUCAUCAUGGUUCUUACGGGUCGGGCUACAAACGUACUACAAUGGCGAUAACAGAAGGUCGCGAAGCCGCAAGGCAAAGCCAAUCCAGAAAAAUCGCCCCAGUUCAGAUUGCCCUCUGCAACUCGAGGACAUGAAGUCGGAAUCGCUAGUAAUCGCGGAUCAGAAUGCCGCGGUGAAUACGUUCCCGGGUCUUGUACACACCGCCCGU
rnacentral:rRNA from 1 species